rnacentral:lncRNA from 1 species
AGAUACCAAACUGCUGAACAAUGAUAAUCCCCUGCUAGAUGAUCAAAAUUCGCGAAGAAGAAAGCUGAAAGGGGGGACCUUGUGACCAAGCUCUAGCAGGCAUUGGGAGAGAUAAUAUAUGUGAUUUUCCACACCACCAAAGUUGGGGUAGAAAAAAUCAGAAACCAUUAAUAUCCUAUGCUUGUUAGAUCCCAUCAUAUCACCUGCAACGAAGUUAGAUCUUCAAUCCGUAAGAAAUGCUACAUUCAAUUGGCAUGACUAAAACAUACAUGGAAAAUGCUUCACCAGAUUCCACCACUCUCCAGUCACGACUACGACUAAGAAGCUUGAAGAUUAGACAGAUUCAAGAUAUGAAGCAUUAGACCAUAUGAACAUGCAACAAAAUCUGCAACUAACCAGUGUGACAAUGGUGCAUCUAGAUAAUAUAGCAAACACUAUAAAGCUGGAUUGGAAGUUAUCCCAUAAAGCUCUACUUCACUGUACUCUUUUUAUCAAAUCCCUGAUUCUCUAUUCGCUUACAAGACAAUGGCAGCAAAUGAAACAAAAAUUGUUCAUGGCAUAGUAGGAUGAACACCUUCUGGGACUAUUUCAUCGCAUUCUUUCUACAGUCAAUUAAUAUCUUUACUCAACUAUUCAAAUAAUAUUUUGAAUGCGUGGAGUUUAGUUUGAAAAUUAACCGGUAUCGAUACCCACUUUCUACAAUUGCUGUCAAUUUGCAGCUCCGACGUUGCAGGCCGGAAGAGAUUCAGCUGGAGUUCACAACAUUUCACUAGUUUAGCGUCAACAGAUCAUUAUCAGUAACAGCGGCCGAUUGAUUGACCAACCUCGGUAGAGGUUUUUGGUGAUGGAAGAUUUCUAUGAACUUGGGAAGUUGGCGUCUGAGAGAACACAAAUACUCCUCCGGCUGAGAAACAGCUCUCGUUGUGAAAUGAACCCGUUACAAAUUACGGUCAAACCAGAUCCUAAUUAAAUAGGCCUAUUAGCUCAGCUGUUUAGAGCGGCGUGCUAAUAUCGCGAAGAUCACAGGCUCGAGACCUGUAUGGGCCAUGUUUUUUCCCUAUUUUUCAGAAGAAAUAGCCAUAGCUAUAUUGAACAUGUUCAUAGUGUUUUGUGGUAGCAGCCAGCAGAGCCUGCAAUCUGGGAUAGCUGCUUUCCUUCUCAAGUCCAUCGUUGAUCAAUUUGCUUGCUUCAUUCAUGAUCUGUCUCUUUCUCGAUAAUGCUCUCCGGCAAAUCAGAAAUCUGGGCGGUUCAUAGUGGGUUGCUGCAAGAAGCAAUGGUUUUAGGACGGAUAGGAAAGACAUACCCGUGUACUUGGGGUCAAUGAUUGCUUCAUUUCAUUCAUUUCUCUUUGGAUGGUAAACGAGCUGAGUACGAGCCAACCUUGGCUCGGCUCGUUUGGUUCAUGAGCUUAUUGAGUCACCUCGAUUGGAGCUUGCGAGCUGGAUUAGUUUGUAUAACUCAGAGAGUUGGCUCGUUUGAAACUCACAAAUGACUUGAUUUCUAGUACAUUUAUGUGCUUGCGAACAGACUCCAUACACGUCUAGAAAAAUCAAGAAUAUAAUAAUCAAUGAUGUUUUCAUUAAUAGUUAUGAGUAGUUAUGACUCAAGUCCAUUUUAGAAUAAUAUAAAUAUGUGAGGCGUGAGUUGAGUCUGGAAUUUUUUAGUUUAAUUUGUUAGGUAGCGUUUUCUAGCUCAAUUUGUUAGGUCACGUUUUCUAGCUCAAUUUGUUAGGUCACGUUUCAAGCUCAAUUUGUCUUUGAAACAAGCCAAGCUCCAGUACAACCUCGUUAGGCUUGCAAACAAGUUGAGGUCAAGCUCAUUAAGACUUGUAAACAUGUCACACUCGAGCUCAUUAAGACAUCGAGCCUAAGCUCAGCUCAGCUCGUCAACUGAUGCAAUCCGACAUGACUCAAAAACAUAAACCAAAACCCAGUAUAGCUUAUGCAUUUGUAUCAGCAACCAACAAUUUAUAAAGCACAACAGCAGUUGGCCAUGUAAAUGACAUUGAGUUCUUGUAAGAUCCCAAAAGGGAAUAAACAUUACAAACAAACAAAACGGAACUCUCAAUCGACAACAGGUUUGCUAUAGUAAGCCUCUCUAGCUUCAAGCACAUCAGGGGUGUAUCUCUUCGCCAGAAUCUCUACCUGUUCGCUAAACGACUUGUUCCUACCCUCACCAAGGUGUUUCACCAUUUCAUUCCACCUCUUUCGGCACACGUCUCCAGUCCUAUGUUCCAAAAGGCAGUCCCAGUCCACGUCUUCCAUGCAGCAAGCAUCCAAGGUGUAAAGCUCGUUCACAAGGAGGUAGUCGUCGGUGUCGAGCCAUUGCUGUUGAGCAACCAUCGGCGAAGCCAGCUGUUUAUACCAUUUCUCGCAGCAAGAGGCAAAGGUCCUCGUGUCAAGCUUAUCACUGAUCGCAGUCCAGCUGAUGUUGUCCCUCAGCAUUCCGUGCUUCGACUUCCUUUCCCCAAACGCCUUCAUCCGCAGAUCGGUGUUCACCAGUUCGUAGAAAGCUUGGUACUCGUCUUGAGACCAGCGUCCCGAAUUUAGGUUCUUCAGUUUCAUCCUUCGGAAGGCAUCUUUUACAUGAUGCCUGUGCUUUCCCAUGGCGUCGGCCAGAGGUUUCCAAUUUGUGCCGCAUUUUUCAUGAUACUUCAUCACAAGCUCGCGGUCUUCUUCUGUCCAUUUACGAGUCGAGUCCCUUUCGAAUAAGAUAUGAGCACGGUAGCGUACGCUUUCGUGUGGACGCCAAGGUAUGGCAGCGCAUAUUUCCAUCCAGCAGUUCCUGAGUUUUUUAUGCUUCCUACAGUUCAUAAUCAUUUGGAUACCUUCUUCAUCACCUAAACCCUUGGAAUUAACAUAAUCCCAGCAAGCAGCUUGAACCAACUUGUCCUCCUCAGGUGAGAAGCGCUUCCCUCUCACCAACUCCUUAUCCUUGGAAGCGGUCUCAUCAUUUGAAUCAUCGGAAUUGGGCAACACCUCCUCAUCUUCAGCAGAACUCACCCUAUCCGGUGUCGAUUUAGGCGGCGAGCUAUCGAGAGCAUCAGUAGCUGCAGAAUUUAUUUCAACCCUCUUUCCUACAUCAUUAGUUUGUGUCUUUGUUUUCCUCUUCUUGUCCUUCGUCCUGUCUAUUGAAUACUCUGUGUUUUCAAGUUCUUUUGUGGUAGCUUCAUCAUCUCCCACAGAGUUCUCCAGCAAUACAGGCUCCUGAACAAUCAGCUGCUUUUUCUUCUUAUCCUUCUUCUUCUUCUUCUUCUUCUUUUCCUCCUCCCCCUCCUCCUCUUUCUUCUUCUUCUUCUUUUCCUCCUCCCUCUCCUCCUCUUUCGUCUUCUCCUGCUUCUUUUCCUCCACCUGCUGCUUCUUCUUCUCCUUCUCCUUCUUUUUCUUUUUCUUCUUCUUCUCCUCCUUCUGCGACUCAGAAUUUUCAUUCAUCACCUCCCCUAAUUCGUGAUCCAUUACCUCCUGAUCAUUUCCAUGCUUCUCUCUCUUCUUCUUCUUCUUCUUCCUCCUCUCAUUUGGAGAGUCAAAAUUCCCAACUUCAAUUCUGUUCAAGGAGCCAACUCCAUGCUCGACCUCGCUUAGACCUAUUAAGGAACUAGAAUCAACCAAAUUAUCGCCCUUGACUCUCUUCCUUUUCUUUUUACUGUUCCCUUUGUCCAUUCUACUUACAAACUCUGUCGAUCCAGCCUCCCCAUUCACCAUUUUGUGCAAUGUAACAACCUCUUUCUGCUGAAAAUAAUGUUAAAAAAGAUGUCAUUCGGGAAAGGGAAAAUGAAACAGAACCCUACUAGGUGUAAGCCGUAAUGUUACACAAAUAUGUUGAACAAAUAUGUCACUAUGAAAUGUGAUUGUGAUGUAAGGACAUGACUGCAGAACCUAUUGGGUCUACAUUUUCCAAUAUGGAAGAAACCUCAAUCCACUGCAAAAUUAGUCCCAACCCGACCAAUUUCCUACAGUAAAAGCAAUCUAAGAAUUGGCACCUAGAUAGUCCACACCGAUUGGACUUGUAUUCCAGCUCUUAGAUGAUGGAUAGCAUCUCGUUUAAACGAAUAGGUUAGAUUUAGAGGAUUACAGCACAGAUGCAAAACAGGGAUAACAAAGUACCUGAAGGAAUAAGAAACCAAGAUUGAUUGAUUGAAGAUAAAACACUUUAACAUGCUAACUAUAAGGGAUAGCUUAAGAACUUACUUCUUGGACUCUUGCAACACAAACCGUUGCAGCUUGACGGAGAAAGUCAGAGAAGUUGAGAAUUAUGAGUACCGUACACGUAGAGACAAGAGUAUGGUAGCAUCCCUACAUCAAAGUAAUACUCUAAAUAAGAACCACUUGAAUGUUAACUUAUAUAUACGAGAGAGAAAAGAAUACAGAGUAAAUAACCUAGCAGUGAUGCAAAAAAACAAUUUUUAAUCACUGCUACUUCCAUAGAGAGCGACUAUUUUGAAGGGAAAAUCCAAUUACAUGCAACAGCAAUAACAAAUCAGGACCAACUAAAGUAAGGAAGGGACCUUUCGUGUAUAAGAAGCUCCGAUCACCAGAAGGGAGUUCAGUGGCUACACCGAGCGAGGAACUUAAAAGGGAAGAAGGAGUGGGAUCUGGGAGCCCGGGACUGAGAAAGCCUUCCUCUGAUCGGAGAGUCUCCCUCUUCUAAAGGUAAUUCGGAGAGCGAUGGGUGGGCAACGUCCACCGGUAGAGUAUCGUCGUGUGUCGGCGGUAACCUAAGAAGAGACGAGGGCAGGCGGGAAGAUGAUGAAAUGAUAUUUAUGGGUAGAAGAGGAAGAUGAUAAUUGAUGAUGGGCCGGGUCUGUAAUGGGCCAGUCCGAAAGCAAUCGGCCUAGAUGGCAACUGGCACUAACAGAGGCGGAGUUGGGUAAUACUUUAUACAGUCAUUUGUAUAUCUUGUAUGGGUAAAACCGGUAAAUCAUUUUUUAGAACAGGAUGGUAUCUGAUUAUUAUUUUUUAAAGAUGAUUAAAUUAUGUAUAAUGUGCCUAUCGGAAGUAUGAACUCCACAAACAGAACUGUAUGGGCCACAGGUCUUCGCUUAAUUGCGGCAACCUCGAUCCUUACUCAAGCAUACGGACAAGGGUAAAUAACAUAGUCACCAGAACAUAAUAAACAAAAAGUGCAGAAGCAAGACUAAAAAAAUUAGCUAUGGACAUUCAGGUUCAUAUUGGAAACAUCAUUAUCCUAGUCUUGUGACCAUCCUUCCUCCUGCUCUAGUUGAGAGGCCUUGGGACUAACGAGAGGUCAGUUGGGAUAGCAGAUCCUUAUCCUGGACUAGCCUUUCUGGUGUUUCAGAGUCUUCGUGCCGCCGUCUACAUCUAUCUCCAUUAGGUCUGAAGAUGACUCUUCACACCAACGACGUUUAAGGUCUCUAUCCUACUCCUAGCUUGCAAUACCUGGCUUGCAAUACCUGGAGCAUCGUGCACGAUGAUUGGAUACUGUGGAGGAGGAGUGUUUGCUGAUUUAGAGCUCCCGGUUGGGUGAUUUGACUUCGAUUUCAGUUUAGGCUUGUUGAAAUUUUUCAGGUUCCAUUGUGAAGCCUUUAGAGCUUGAGCUUCCUUCCAUGUUAAUGCCUUGAUCGAAUUCUCCUAGAGAAAAGGGAAGUCGAUCUCUGAGUAUUGAAAUCGAAGUGCACAUUUUUUUUCAACGUGUCCAAUCAAUCCACAAACAAAGCAGAAGACAGGUAAUCUUUCAUACUUAUACUGACAAGUAAUAGUCUUACCGUCAUGCAUAAUAACGUCUCGUUCCUUCAAGAGGGGUUUUCCGACAUCCAUAACGACCCGAAGCCUCAUGAAAGCAUUAGGGAAGAACUUUUGGUUCUUCUUGUCAUGGCCUUUAUAGGUGUCAGCCGAGCUCGCCAAUUCCCGUCCGACUGGCUCCGCAAAAUAUUCGAACGGCAAGUUAUGGACUUGCAACCAUAACUCCACGGUAUUGAGCAGGACCUAUUGUGAAGACUCAUCUCAUGGAGCUUCAGAAUGUGGUUGUCAGCAAACCAAUGACCGAAAUCCAUCACAUGACGGACGUCCAGUGGGUGAGCGAAACGAAACAGGAAGCGCCUAUCUUUCAGAGUCGUGAGCUCCACACCGGAUUCCGGCAACUACGUGUUGGGCAGGCUUCGCCGUAUUAGAGAUAUGUUGAGGCAGACCCAUCUGUGCCACUCGUACAAUUACGAGAGUUGUUUUUUUUGUGAUUUUCCUAGUUUCUCGUUGAUGGUGAGCUCAUAUUCUACAUCGUAUGGUCUCUCAACGUCGUUUCCUGUCAUCUGAUAUCCCGUCAUUUGCAUCCACGUGCGCCGCCUCCCGUGCCAAGUCCCUAGGUGUCAUGCACGCCAAAUUGGUGGUGGUGCGGGCUGCCCUGUGCUUCUUACCGAUGGGUGGAGGUUGAGUUUGGGGGUCUCCGCGGCGAUGGUAGUGGGUUGACGGUUUGGUGUGGGUUGACGGCAUUGAUCAAUUUACUUCUUGCUUCAAAUUCUUUGGCAGAAAACAAUUCAUUAGAUUAGAACUGGAAACCAGAGUGAUGAGACGGAUUAAGUCAGAUUCCAACAGAGUUACAUCUCUUAAGAAAUAAUGUAACCCCUUUAGACUUUAUAUAUUUGCAAUUAAAAAAAUAAUUUAACUUUUAGACUUUAUAUAUAGUUUUAAUAACUAAGUUUAACCACUCUAUUAUUUAUAUCGAAACUAUUUGUAUGUCUCCCCUCUAAAUAAACUUGGUAUUGUGUUUACAGAACCUAUAAUCAAAUAAUCAAUACUCAACUGAAGUUUGUGCAGUUAAUUGAAGGGAUUAACGGCCAAAAUGCACUAGUAUUAUCAACCGAAUAGAUUCACACUAGAUGGCCAUUUCCAUCAAUAUCAUCGCCGUUCUUCUUCUGUCCACAUAUCCCCUCUGAAACUUGAGAGACACCUGCACUUCAUUGUCCUUAUUACGUGUUACAAAAUGAAACCCAUGCAUCCAUGCAAACUGAAGAAUGGCGCAAGAACCCUUCCCCUCCAUUUCUUAUGUGGCGACCAUCCAUUUCACCAUCUCCCGCUAUAAAACACCCCCAUCACUUCACCUAGAACAUCAUCACUACUUGCUUAUCCAUCCAAAAGAUACCCACCAUGGCUAGAUCAUCAAGCCCUUUGCUUCUCUCACUCUGCAUUUUCGCCAUUCUCUUCCACUCUUCUCUGGGUAGGCAGCAAUUCCAGCAGGGGAACGAGUGCCAGAUCGACAGGAUCGACGCAUCCGAGCCGGACAAAACCAUCCAGGCAGAAGCUGGCACCAUCGAGGUAUGGGACCAGAACCGCCAGCAAUUCCAGUGCGCUGGUGUUGCCGUUGUAAGGCGCACCAUUGAGCCCAAAGGUCUUCUCUUGCCUUUCUACAGCAACACCCCUCAGCUCAU